GGGCCGGUGGCGCAAUAGGAAGCGCAGCUCCCCUGCAAGGAGCAGGUUGCGGGUUCGACCCCCGCACGGUCCACCA
rnacentral:tRNA from 1 species